UGUGUGUGUGUGUGUGUGUGUGUGUGUGUGUGUGUGUGUGUGUGUGUGUGUGUGUGUGUGUGUGUGUCAGCUUGAUGAGAGGAGAGAUUGGUCAUUUCCUUCAGCGCGCCAAAUGCUGCUCCCUGCUGCCGGACUCCCUGCUGUCCGUCCCUGGGGACCGCGGACCCCGCCCGGACAGAUUGCAUAAUCUGCCUUCGGUCUCUAUCUCUGCGUGCUGACGGAUGGGAACCGCGCGCGCUUUACCGGAAUAUUUGGGAUUCAUUAUUUGCAUUUGUUAAACAGGUCCUACCUGGAGGGAUAACUGCCGUUUGGGGAACAGAGCAGCCGCUCGGAGCCGCAGACGCAUGGUGGAUAAAAGGUUGUUUGUACUCGUUAACACCUUCAGGGUCGGUGGGUGUUGUUCCUUGUGGGCACGGGGUUUACCGGGAUUUGGGAUGAGCGGUGUCGGAUCUGAAGAUAUUUCGCCUCCAGACAUCACUUUUCUCCGAUCUAUGUCUCCGGUGUCUCUGUGAGGACUGCUCGGAUGAAACAACACAUAUAAAUGGAUGGCACGAGCUCUUACAUCCCCGUUACAUUACAUUCGUUACUGAAGUAACGUUCAUUGGCUUUGGGGGGCUAACCUUACGACCCUGCAUACACCCAACCUUCUCGUCUGAGGAUCUAUAUGUACGUGAGUGCUUCUCGUGGGUUUGUACGGCGAGACCACCGGCACCUGGAUUUCCGCCCCCUUUUUUCUGCCUGACUGCGCCACGUAUGUUCCGGUGUAUCUGCUAUUUUGUGCCGUCCGGUCCCACAUUUAUUCAGGCCCACAAAACUACCCAGAGAGCCCCUCUCUCUCGGCUGUGGUGGGGAGAAGAGUUGCCCCGGAGAGGAGAGCCGGAGUUGGGAUAUCAGCCAAGCCUGACCGCCUUUAAAAAACCUUCCGGUUCUGUGUGAUUUAACGGAGCCGUUAGAGGACCGGUCGGAGAGGAGGGAGGACGGAUUGUGGAGAAAACCGUAAAGAGGAGAGGAGGUGGAUAUUGAUGAAGGAUAUCUAUGAAAGUUGAAUGGAUGAAGCUCCUUCAAACUUUUGGAAAUAGUUGUCCAGCAGGAAAAUAAAGCAGCAUGCUCUACGGAAGGACGCAGCUCUUGUUAGCUUGACAUCCUGCUGUGGCCCUGAGGCCGGAGAUGUGACUGUAAUGUGAAUUGACCCUAAAGGACUGAGAGUACAUGAGGACUGCUUGGAUCCAACAAACUCAGCAGCAAAGAAGACAUGGAUACCGUCUCCUCGCAUCUGAGCCCUUUCCUCUUCCCCCUCCUCCUUGUCCUCCUGUCCUCCGUCAACUCCUCCUUGUCUUCCAUGCUGUGUCCGAAACGCUGCACCUGCCAGAACCUGAUGCCGUCCUACACGGUGCUGUGUGCCAAGACGGGCCUACUAUUUGUACCACCCAACAUUGACCGGCAGACUGCGGAGCUCAGGCUGAUGGACAACUUCAUCACAACGCUGAGGCACCGCGACUUCGCCAACAUGUCCAGCCUGAUCCACCUGACCCUGAGCAGAAACACCAUCAGUCAGAUCAGGUCUUAUGCCUUCGCUGACCUCCAGGACCUCCAUGCUCUCCACCUAGACGCCAACCGCCUCACCACCCUGGAUGACUCCCACUUUCAGGGCCUUGUGAACCUGCGGCACCUCAUCCUGGCCAACAACCAGCUGCACAGCAUAUCUGAGGGAGCCUUUCAGGACUUCUCGGAGACACUCGAGGAUUUGGAUUUAAGCUACAACAACCUAGUGGACAUCCCCUGGGACACCAUCGCCCUGCUGGUCAGCGUUAACACCCUCAGCCUCGACCAUAACCUCAUAGAGAGCGUCCCAGAAGGAAUCUUCUCCAACUUGCAUAAACUGGCCAGACUGGACAUGACAUCCAACAAGCUAAAGAAGAUUCCUCCGGACCCAUUGUUCUUGCGGAUCCCGGUGUAUGCUAAGAUGAAGGGUUCCCCUCUCACGGCGCUGGUGUUGAGUUUUGGAGGGAACCCUCUGCACUGUAAUUGUGAGCUGGUAUGGCUUCGCAGACUGACCAGAGAGGAUGACCUGGAGACGUGUGCUUCACCUAAGGACCUGGCCGGCAAAUACUUCUGGACAAUUAGAGAGGAGGAGUUUGUUUGUGAACCACCAAUGAUUACUCGUCACACCUCCAAGAUGUUUGUGAUGGAGGGUCAGGAGGUCAGCCUACGCUGUAAGUCCAUCGGCGAUCCUGAGCCUUCAACACACUGGGUCAGUCCUGAUGGAAAGCUUAUAGGCAAUACGUCCAGAACCAUCUGCUAUGAGAAUGGCUCGCUGGACAUCCUCAAAGCCUCAGUGAAGGAUUCUGGAAAGUUCACAUGCAUAGCAUCCAAUGCGGCAGGGGAAGCCACUGCUCCUGUUGAGUUAGUGGUCAACCCCUCACCACACUUUGACCCUAAAUUGGACCCUGACCCGGGGCCUUCAGACAUCCCCACAUCUAUCAAGUCCAACGCAAGCGGGGGUCAGGCACGUUCCGACCUGCAGAGGGUCAGUGUGUCUGAUCUUACGUCCAGUGCUGCCACCAUCAGAUGGCCACCGCAGAACCACAUACCCGGAGUCCGCAUGUACCAGAUCCAGUACAACAGCUCUACUGAUGAUAUCCUGAUAUAUAGGAUGAUCCCGGCUAACCACAAGUACUUCCUGCUGAGCGACCUGGCGUCAUCGCGAGACUAUGAGCUAUGUGUUUUGGCCGUCUACGAUGAUGGCAUCACCGCCCUGACGGGAACAAAGCUGGUGGGCUGCGUGUCCUUUACUACGGAGACGGAGUAUGGACGCUGUCACUCAAUAAGAGACCAGUUCCUUGGCGGUACCAUGAUUAUAAUCAUUGGAGGCAUCAUCGUGGCCUCUGUCCUUGUCUUCAUCUUCAUCCUCCUAAUGAAGUACAAGCUGCACAGUAACCACUACAAACAGAAAGCAACAGCACGACAUGCCAACGUCUGCUCCCAGACCAACGGAGGGGGAGCUAACACACUCACUGUUCCUCCAUUCUUCUCCUCUGCAGGGCAGGGUGGAGGUGAUGGUAAAAACUCCCAACCUUCAUCAUCACUGAAGGGAUGGGAGGAGUAUCCAUUCGAGGGACGACUGUAGUGGACUUAAAAUCCCACCCGUGACGAAGACGCCAUCUCUCAAUAACAUAUGAAAUUGUUAAUCAAACCUUCAACUCACCAAUCAUUAAGCCCAAACCAAUAAUCCAACUCCAUCGCCCUCCCUUUUUUAAACUAUUUGUUAUUGGUGCCUGAAAUCUACUCUACUUCACGCUGAGGAGCAGCUCCUGUCAUUGGUGCCCCAGUGGACUGCAUGGUCACAUCCUUCUAAUAAGCCCCGAUAAUCAGGUAUUCGAGCAAGAGACACACAUCCAACUUCUAAUGUCACCUUGUACCAGAAACCGAUUGGAUGUGAUGGGAAAAGCCAGAGGAGGGUAAAUUGCCUUCGUCUUGAAAUGCAAAAGUGUCUACACACUGCUGGACCUUUACGGAAACACGUCAGGCUUUUGGCUAUAAAGUCUGCAUAAUAAUAGAUGCUUUGCAGUUUGAAACCUUAAAUCAGAGUGAACACGUUCUGGCCCUUCAUCUCUUAUGAAGAAGGAAUUAAAUGACAAAAAGGAUGUUACAUUCAGCCCCUGCAUUUGUCAGGUAGACUCUAAAUGCACCUAUGAAAAUGCACUGAAAGGAUUACUGGAUUACAGAAAACCCCUUUUAUGACAUUUUUCCAGGAUCUUCAAAACAUUUUGUGGCAACUCUCCUCUCUUUCCCAAGCAUAAAGUCAUAUGCUAAAGGAAUGCUAGAGUAUGAUGAAAGCAUUAUUAAGAUUUUGGGACAAUAUGCAGAUGUGCAAAAAACACACUUCUCUCAUCUCUUAGCAGAGAUUAUUCAUGAUGCUCCUUGGAUUGAAUACACAGGCACAUGUCUUGUAUCAAGGACUCAAUAAUAACAAACUGUCAAAAAUAAAUGGUGAAUCUGUGGCACUUUAAUGGUCUCUCUCUCUCCUACAGCUCAGACGUUUAAUGAUGAAUUACAUGUUUGUGUUUAGACACUGGAAAUCACUUGUACCUUUACAGCACUGGUAAACUGAACCAUAAAUGUUCUUAAUAAUAAAAAAGAUCGUAAUUAAAUGGAAAGUGGUUCUAAAAGAUGGCCAGCAGAACUUCCGCUGUCCCAUCACCCCUCUACCUUCCGCUCCCCUUUGCCGUAUAACAAUGUCUGUGUUUGUAUGUGACAUACAUCUUACAAUAUUUGAUGAUUUGAUAUCCAUGAUUUACUUACAAUAUAAUGAAACUAAUUACCAUAAUAAGGAGGAAAAACACAGCAACAUAUGAAAUGGGGAUUUUAUGCUUUCAUAAAUACUCUUAUGUGGAUUUAUAAUUAAAUAAAAAGGUAUUUUUCUUGGAAAAAGA